GGUCUCCCUCUGUUGCCCAGGCUGGAGGACAGUGGUAUAAUCAUAGCUAACUGCAGCUUUGAACUCCUGAGAACAGCAAUCCUCCUUCCUCGGUCUUCCGCAGCAUUGGGAUUACAGGUCCUGAAGAAAAUGAAGUUGAUGUUUCAGUGAGACACCUGUAUGCCAGAGAGUAAAAGGGAUUAUUGUGGAUUCCUGAGAAUUUUCUACAUAUGAAAUCAUGUCAUCUAUGAACAGAG
rnacentral:lncRNA from 1 species